rnacentral:rRNA from 1 species
GGGGAAUUUUGGACAAUGGGCGCAAGCCUGAUCCAGCAAUGCCGCGUGAGUGAAGAAGGCCUUCGGGUUGUAAAGCUCUUUUGUCAGGGAAGAAACGGUGCGGGCUAAUAUCCCGCGCUAAUGACGGUACCCGCAGAAUAAGCCCCGGCUAACUUCGUGCCAGCAGCCGCGGUAAGACGAAGGGGGCUAGCGUUGUUCGGAAUUACUGGGCGUAAAGCGCGUGUAGGCGGUUGUCCAAGUCGGGUGUGAAAGCCUUGAGCUCAACUCAAGAAAUGCACUCGGUACUGGGUGACUAGAGGACCGGAGAGGAUAGUGGAAUUCCCAGUGUAGUGGUGAAAUACGUAGAGAUUGGGAAGAACACCAGUGGCGAAGGCGGCUAUCUGGACGGUUUCUGACGCUAAGACGCGAAAGCGUGGGGAGCAAA